rnacentral:rRNA from 1 species
AACGAACGCUGGCGGCAUGCCUAACACAUGCAAGUCGAACGAGGCCUUCGGGUCUAGUGGCGCACGGGUGCGUAACGCGUGGGAACCUGCCCUUAGGUUCGGAAUAACUCCCCGAAAGGGGUGCUAAUACCGGAUAAUGUCUUCGGACCAAAGAUUUAUCGCCUUUGGAUGGGCCCGCGUUGGAUUAGCUAGUUGGUGGGGUAAAGGCCUACCAAGGCGACGAUCCAUAGCUGGUCUGAGAGGAUGAUCAGCCACACUGGGACUGAGACACGGCCCAGACUCCUACGGGAGGCAGCAGUGGGGAAUAUUGGACAAUGGGCGAAAGCCUGAUCCAGCAAUGCCGCGUGAGUGAUGAAGGCCCCUAGGGUUGUAAAAGCUCUUUUACCCGGGGAUGAUAAUGACAGUACCGGGAGAAUAAGCUCCGGCUAACUCCGUGCCAGCAGCCGCGGUAAUACGGAGGGAGCUAGCGUUGUUCGGAAUUACUGGGCGUAAAGCGCACGUAGGCGGCUUUUUAAGUCAGGGGUGAAAUCCCGGGGCUCAACCCCGGAACUGCCUCUGAAACUGGAUGGCUAGAAUCUUGGAGAGGCGAGUGGAAUUGCCGAGUGUAGAGGUGAAAAUUCGUAGAUAUUCGGAAAGAACACCAGUGGCGAAGGCGACUCGCUGGACAAGUAUUGACGCUGAGGUGCGAAAGCGUGGGGA